CCAAUAGCGUAUAUUAAAGUUGUUGCAGUUAAAAAGCUCGUAGUUGAAUUUCGAGACCGGUUUAUUGGUCGUGCUUUUGUACGUACUGGUAUUAUUGGUUUCUCCUUUCUGACGAAUCUUAAUGCCAUUAAUUUGGUGUUUUGGGGAAUCAGGACUGUUACUUUGAAAAAAUUAGAGUGUUUAAAGCAGGCUCACGCUUGAAUACAUUAGCAUGGAAUAACGGAAUAGGACGUUUGAUUCUAUUUUGUUGGUUUCUAGGAUCGACGUAAUGAUUAAUAGGGAUAGUUGGGGGCAUUAGUAUUCAAUUGUCAGAGGUGAAAUUCUUGGAUUUAUUGAAGACUAACUACUGCGAAGGCAUUUGCCAAGGAUGUUUUCAUUAAUCAAGAACGAAAGUUAGGGGAUCGAAGACGAUCAGGUACCGUCGUAGUCUUAACCAUAAACUAUGCCGACUAGGGAUCGGAUGAUGUUAAUUUUUUAAUGACUCAUUCGGCGCCUUACG
rnacentral:rRNA from 1 species